UGUUUUAGUUUGGAUGUUGAGAAGCUUGUCAGGGGCCAGCAGGACGUCUCUCCUUCUGCUCGUGAUGUCACAUCAGAUCCCCAUCCUGCAGCUCUGGCUUCAGCGGCUCACGGUCUACCAUUCCAUUACAGAAAAACACCGGGAGCAAAAGGUUACCUUCUCCACAGAAACAUGUAAACAGACUGAAAGGUCAUCAAACAGAACUCUAGCGGAGGAGGAACUGAGAAAAGAAAGGUUGUGAGGAGAAGUGUUUGAAGCCCAGAACAGGACGAGAAGGGGAAGCCCCAAAGAUAAAGUCCAUCAUACCAGUGGCUUCUGACAUAUACGUUAAGUUUGACGAAGACAUGACAGCUGUCACUCAAAGCCUGUGUACUGGUUCAACAGAGAUGCACUUGGAAGAAUCAGGUUCUGGUCGCCCACAGGGUGAGGGCAGCAGGGAGAUGGGUGGCUGACGCAGGCCGCAGCGGCUGUGCUACCUAUCUUGGUUUUGAAGGAAAGCAGAGCUGACAGAGGCCACCUCAGGAGACGGCUCAGUCUCCGUCAGCGCGCUGAGAGGAAGAGGCAGGGUCUGUCAGGGGUCCUCCAUCGCUGCGGAGAGCGACGUACCCCCAUCCUGCUGCUGUCUCCACUGCACCCAGUCACUUUACCCACCACACAUACAGAGAGGAAACGAACAGGUACAGUACAGUCAGCAACAUCCAGUCUAGCGUAUACAAGUGUUAGGGAGACCGGGAGACAGACGUAGUCACUGGAGAUAUUUCUCAGUUAGUGUUUUUGGUUGGAUUGUGAAAAUUCAACACAUUCAGAAGACUUUAGGGUGGGGAUGAUAAGAUUUGAUUGUUUUUAAGCAGAGUUUCUUAUGCAUGCUAAGGCUACAUUCAAUUGAUCAAAAUACAAUAAGAAAACUAAUAUUGGGAAGGAUUUGAAAUAUUUUAAUACUUUUUUUUUUAUUCUUGUGAAGUAAUUAUACUACAGAAGUCAAUGUUUCUCUCAGAAAUAAAUGAAAUAUGGGGAUUUGUGUUAAAAAAAUAAGUUGUGCUGCCUAAUAGUUUUGUGUAAUCCAUAAACUUUCCUUUAUCAUAAAAUUGGAUUGUCAGGAUGAAAAAAGGGAAAAACUGGCUCAUUAUGGACACGUACCGCUGUCUACAUUUCUGGAGAGCAGGAAUUAUGUAGCCAGAGGUACGUCUGGCUGCAUUUCAUCUUUCAAUGAAUGCUAUAGGACAGAAAGACGCUGCUCACAGGUUCUGUUCAUUUUAGAACUAUACCAGCUGACUGCUUUUCCUGUGUUCCCAGUUUUCACAGUAGCUUGCUGCAUAAGUCGGUAGACUUGGGACGCAGAGAAUAGUUCCAGAACUGUUCCAGAAACCAUUCAUUCAUUAAUUUUCUUUUUCGGCUAAGUUCCUUUAUUAAUCUGGGGUCGCCACAGCGG